rnacentral:lncRNA from 1 species
ACAGUGUUGUUGUUGAAUCUAUUACUCUUAUCAGAAAAAUUAGCUAAGUGUCUCACUCCAAGCCAAUUAUCCCACCAGAAUGAGCGAUUUCCAGAUUUGAUUUUCCAGUGAAUGUGCUUUUCAACUUAGUGCUUGAUUUAUGUUAAGUAUCUCCAAGUUGAGGAGUCACAAGGGCCUUUAGUCCUGCUGAUAGGAUUAGAUCUCUGGCAGUAUUUAGCCUUUAGAAAGUCCCC